UUUGCACUCCCUCCGUCCCGAAUUAAUUGUCUUAGAUUUGUCUAGAUACAGAUGUAUCUAGACACGUUUUAGUGUUAGGUACAUCUGUAUAUCUAGACAAAUCUAAGACAACUAAUUUGGGAUGGAGGUAAUACAUA
rfam:Triticum urartu cultivar G1812 contig621991, whole genome shotgun sequence.